rnacentral:sRNA from 1 species
UCGGCUUGCACGAUUUGAUUGUGCAUUUCCUCCCUAAACUUGGUCGUAAACAUGGUUUUACGACCUUUUUUUUGUUCUAA